GAUGAACGCUGGCGGCGUGCCUAAUACAUGCAAGUCGAGCGAAUGGAUUAAGAGCUUGCUCUUAUGAAGUUAGCGGCGGACGGGUGAGUAACACGUGGGUAACCUGCCCAUAAGACUGGGAUAACUCCGGGAAACCGGGGCUAAUACCGGAUAACAUUUUGAACCGCAUGGUUCGAAAUUGAAAGGCGGCUUUGGCUGUCACUUAUGGAUGGACCCGCGUCGCAUUAGCUAGUUGGUGAGGUAACGGCUCACCAAGGCAACGAUGCGUAGCCGACAUGAGACGGAUAUCGGCCACACGGGUACUGUGACAGGGCCCAGACUCCUACGUGAGGCAACAGUAGGGAAUCUUCCGCAAUGUACGAAAGUCUGACGGAUCAUCGCCGCGUGAGUGAUGAAUGCUUUCUGGUCGUAACACUCUGUUGUUAGGGAAGAACAAGUGCUAGUUGAAUAAGCUGGCACCUUGACGGUACCUAACCAGAAAGCCACGGCUAACUACGUGCCAGCCGCCGCGGUAA
rnacentral:rRNA from 1 species